rnacentral:rRNA from 1 species
CCUACGGGAGGCAGCAGUGGGGAAUAUUGCACAAUGGGGGCAACCCUGAUGCCGCGACGCCGCGUUCGUGAAGAAGUAUCUCGGUACGUAAAGCUCUAUCAGCAGGGAAGAAAAUGACGGUACCUGACUAAGAAGCCCCGUCUAACUACGUGCCAGCAGCAGCGGUAAUACGUAGGGGGCAAGCGUUAUCCGGAUUUACUGGGUGUAAAGGGAGCGUAGACGGCAGCACAAGUCUGGAGUGAAAUCCCGGGGCUUAACCCCGGAACUGCUUUGGAAACUGGGCGGCUGGAGUGCAGGAGGGGUAAGCGGAAUUCCUAGUGUAGCGGUGAAAUGCGUAGAGAUUAGGAGGAACACCGGUGGCGAAGGCGGCUUACUGGACUGUAACUGACGUUGAGGCUCGAAAGCGUGGGGAGCAAACAGGAUUAGAUACCCCUGUAGUC